CCCCGCCACUUCGUUUCACGUCUGCUUUCCCCCUGCAGCGUUUGUGUUUACUCGUUCUGCGGCAACAGUUUCCCUUCUUCUCCCACACACUCUCUCCACUUCCAUUCUUUCCAAGCCACUGGCUGGGGCCUUUAAUCGUCAGUGGCACCUGUCCCCUAGAGCCGUAAUGUCCCUCAUCCAUCAGUGGGGGAUGACGGGCUAUGUGCCUUCCCGACCCAACCGCCACCUCCCCAACCCCCUUUUCCAACGGCGGCAGGUGGGGAAGGGUUCACACUCUACCAGACCAGAGCGUGUGUGUAUGUGUGUGUGUUUUUGCCAUAGAAGCUGACACUCAUGGUCACUGGAUCUGGACUCUUAAUCAUCGAGGCCUCUCCUCCCCUACAGCCCUUCCUACACAUCCCCAGGGGGUGAAGAUGGGAGAGUAGAGGACACCCUGGACUGUCCCUCUGAAGGAUGACUCGUAUCCGAACUCAAUGGCGUCUACUAAUGUGGUGAUUGAUGCCGGUGAUCAACAGGAAAUCCUCCAGGUUUCUGUUUGAGGGUCCGUGAACACGGCUUGCCAGAGUUAAAUCAAUGUAUCGGAAAUUAAUUAAGAAUUAAAAAUCGGACUGUCAUCUCAAAUAUGAAAGUGAACCACUGCUUUAAACUGAUGUGGUUCCAAUUCCAAGUCUGAGAUUCUUAUAAUAUUUGAGUUGGAUUUAGUGAUUAUAUAGUGAUUAUAUGAUGAAUUCUACACCUUAAUGAGGGCUCAGGAAGUUUACUCUGUACUUCCUGUGGAUAUGUAUCUGUGGAGGAGAAGAUCAUGGAACACCUUGGAGGUUACUUUGCCUUCAGUAUUACAGAUACAAACAGAAAGAAGUGCAGCUUGGCACAACAACACAUAUAUUGUUGGAGAUGGUCAUCGGUGACUUAACAAAAUGUUUGUUAGCAACAGAAUUUGAGAUGACGUGCGGUCCACUUUCAAUCAAGCCUGCACCAUUGCUCGGCUCACUCCAAACUGGUCCUCAUGUGUCAGCAAAGACUUUAAACACUUCGUAUAAAAGGUGACACAAGUGUCCCUGACUCAGUUAUUGGUUAUGAUACUCAAUAGUCAUCUAAACCAGUUUAUUUGGUGUCCGUUUCUGGGUUUUUGUCUAAGAGCGUUAACCCUAGCACAUUAUGUUUUUAGUUCUUAAAAGUUAAUUGUAAUACUCUGGUUACCUAAAAAUUAUUAAUUGUCUGGUUGUAUGUAGCUCCAGCCUCUUAUGUCACUUUUGAUGUCCGGAAAAACAAGAUGGCGAUGGCUAAAUACCAAGAUGGCGACAGAGAGAAUUUCCAUUUCCUAGAUACAGUAGGUCCAGUAGUAUGUGAGAUUAACUACAAGCUGGCCUACAUGGCAACUACCUUCUAGGAUCCUUUAAAAGAGACCCAGGACAUGAGCAGGAAAAGAAUUCCAGUAGGAAAAUCGUUUGCUGGAGACACACUUGAGAAAAGAUGGGACUCUCAGCUUGGUUGGAUAUAAUCAGAGGAGCAUUUUGAUGUCCUUUUGCCCACGUUUUCCUCUUUUGUUGCCAUAGACGGCACUUUACCAUCAUUUUGUGCGAAUGUGCAUAGCUGUGGUGAAAAUACAACUAGAGAGAUCCAGCAGAGAUUAUCUGAGAAAUAUAAAGUACAUAAAUAUGAGAGAAUUAGAAACCGUAGGUUUUCUUCUGGGGCCUACUAACAUUUGUAGUUAGAUAAGGAGAUUUUUUUCCGAGGUAUACAGCAUAAGUUAAUCCAACUAUAAAUGCAGAAUAUGGUUAUACUGUAUUGUUAUGGUGUAAUACAAUAUGGCUUCAGUUUCCCAAGGUGACAAAAAGGUUAAAAAAAAGCCUGUGAGGAGACACGAAAAGGCUGCAAGUAGAGACAAAAGCCUGUGAGGAGACACAAAAGGCUACGAGGAGACGCAAAAGCCUGUGAGGAGACACGAAAAGUCUCUGAGGAGACACAAAAGCAUGUGAGGAGACA